GGGGUUGUAGCUCAGUUGGGAGAGCACCGGCUUUGCAAGCCGGGGGUCAGGGGUUCGAGCCCCCUCAGCUCCACCA
rnacentral:tRNA from 1 species